GAUGAACGCUGGCGGCGUGCCUAAUACAUGCAAGUCGAGCGAACGGACGAGAAGCUUGCUUUUCUGAUGUUAGCGGCGGACGGGUGAGUAACACGUGGAUACCCUACCUAUCAGACUGGUAUAACUUCGGGAAACCGGCGCUAAUCCCGGAUAAUAUUUUGAACCGCAUGGUUCAAAAGUGAAAUACGGUCUUGCUGUCACUUAUAGAUGGAUCCGCGCUGCAUUAGCUAGUUGGUAAGGUAACGGCUUACCAAGGCAACGAUGCAUAGCCGACCUGAGAGGGUGAUCGGCCACACUGGAACGGAGACACGGUCCAGACUCCUACGGGAGGCAGCAGUAGGGAAUCUUCCGCAAUGGGCGAAAGCCUGACGGAGCAAGGCCGCGUGAGUGAUGAAGGUCUUCGGAUCGUAAAACUCUGUUAUUAGGGAAGAACAUAUGUGUAAGUAACUGUGCACAUCGUGACGGUACCUAAUCAGAAAGCCACGGCUAACUACGUG
rnacentral:rRNA from 1 species